UACGGAGGGUGCAAGCGUUAUCCGGAUUCACUGGGUUUAAAGGGUGCGUAGGAGGGCAGGUAAGUCAGUGGUGAAAUCCUGGGGCUUAACCCCAGAACUGCCGUUGAUACUAUCGGCUCUUGAAUGUCGUGGAGGUGAGCGGAAUGAUGCCAUGUAGCGGAUGAAAUGCUUAGAUAUGACAUAGAACACCAAUUGCGAAGGCAGCUUGCUACACGGAUAUUGCU
rnacentral:rRNA from 1 species